AGAUUUCAAUUUCUCAAAAUC
rnacentral:snRNA from 1 species